AUCAAGGCAGUGUUUAUGAAACCAGCUCUGACAACUGACACAUUCAACCAUGUCAUCUUCCUCCCUGACAUAUGGAAGGCGACAUCUACAGUAAAUUGGUAUAAGAACCUUGUGUGAUGUUUGUUCAGGGCUUGACAUUCUUGGUACAGAUGGAAACAUAUGCAUUUUGCCUUUAGUAAAACAAUUCCACAAGUGACUUCGGAUAUUCCUCCUUUGAAAGUUAUCUUGCAGGGAUCCUGUCCAUAACACAAUGAUGUAGCAAAAGCAAUGGCAAAUAUACCACAGUCAUAUCCAUUUGUCUGUUGGGUGACUGGCUCAAUUGAGAUUUCGAUUACAUUUUCUGACUGAAGGUAACUUUCAGCUUCACAAUAAGACAAUUUUAAAAUAGCCUGACUGAGAAGUGUAAGAGCUUCAGGGAAGAUAACUUUGGUAAUGAAGUCUAUUCCAGAAGAUGGAAACCAUCCAAGAAGUUUACUUACAAUAAGGUUUGGAGCACUCUUGCUGAAACCUGAUUU